AUUGAACGCUGGCGGCAGGCCUAACACAUGCAAGUCGAGCGCGCGGCGGACGGGUGAGUAAUGUCUGGGACACUGCCUGAUGGAGGGGGAUAACUCCGGGAAACGGUAGCUAAUACCGCAUACCAUCCGAUGUUCCCAGAUGGGAUUAGCUAGUAGGUGGGGUAAUGGCUUACCUAGGCCACGAUCCCUAGCUGGUCUGAGAGGAUGAACAGCCACACUGGAACUGAGACACGGUCCAGACUCCUACGGGAGGCAGCAGUGGGGAAUAUUGCACAAUGGGCGCAAGCCUGACGCAGCCAUGCCGCGUGUAUGAAGAAGGUCUUCGGGUUGUAAAGCACUUUUAGCGGGGAGGCGUUACCUGCAGAAGAAGCACCGGCUAACUACGUGCCAGCAGCCGCGGUAAUUC
rnacentral:rRNA from 1 species